CAAAGGUAGCAUAAUCAUUUGUCUUUUAAUUGUAGACCUGUAUGAAAGGCAAAAUGAGAGCCCAACUGUCUCUUAUAACAAAUCAAUUAAACUGAUCCCCUAGUACAAAAGCUAGGAUACCAACAUAAGACCAGAAGACCCUGUGAAGCUUUAACUAACCUAUUAAACCCAAUAAUAGCUACUUUCGGUUGGGGCGACCUUGGAACAAAAAAGAACUUCCAACAUAUGACUAAUCAUAAAACAAGGCAAACAAGCCACACCAGACCCAGUAUUACUGACAAUUGAAAUAAGUUACUCCAGGGAUAACAGCGCCAUCUUCUUUAAGAGCCCAUAUCAAAAAGAAGGUUUACGACCUCGAUGUUGGAUCAGGACAUCCCAGUAAUGCAGCCGUUACUAAAGGUUCGUUUGUUCAACAAUUAACAGU
rnacentral:rRNA from 1 species